CAGCCGCCGCGGGAAUACGAAGGGUGCAAGCGUUAAUCGGAAUUACUGGGCGUAAAGCGCGCGCAGGCGGGUCAGUCAGUCUGUCUUAAAAGUUCGGGGCUUAACCCCGUGAUGGGAUGGAAACUGCUAAUCUAGAGUAUCGGAGAGGAAAGUGGAAUUCCUAGUGUAGCGGUGAAAUGCGUAGAUAUUAGGAAGAACACCAGUGGCGAAGGCGACUUUCUGGACGAAAACUGACGCUGAGGCGCGAAAGCCAGGGGAGCGAACGGGAUUAGAUACCCGUGUAGUCCCUGUCUCUUAUACA
rnacentral:rRNA from 1 species